AGCGAACGCUGGCGGCAGGCCUAACACAUGCAAGUCGAACGAACCUUUCGGGGUUAGUGGCGGACGGGUGAGUAACACGUGGGAACGUGCCUUAGGUUCGGAAUAACUCAGGGAAACUUGUGCUAAUACCGAAUGUGCCCUUCGGGGGAAAGAUUUAUCGCCUUUAGAGCGGCCCGCGUCUGAUUAGCUAGUUGGUUGAGGUAAUGGCUCACCAAGGCGACGAUCAGUAGCUGGUCUGAGAGGAUGAUCAGCCACAUUGGGACUGAGACACGGCCCAAACUCCUACGGGAGGCAGCAGUGGGGAAUCUUGCGCAAUGGGCGAAAGCCUGACGCAGCCAUGCCGCGUGAAUGAUGAAGGUCUUAGGAUUGUAAAAUUCUUUCACCGGGGACGAUAAUGACGGUACCCGGAGAAGAAGCCCCGGCUAACUUCGUG
rnacentral:rRNA from 1 species